GUCUGUGACCAGGGGACAGAUAUCGCCUCAGAAUAAAAGGACGUACCUUUAGAAUGGAGAUGAGGAGAAAUUUCUCCAGCCAGAAGGUGGUGAAUCUGUGGAAUUCAUUGGAACGGGCAGCUGUGGAGACCAAUUAAUUGGGAAUUUUUAAGCGGCGAUUAAUA